rnacentral:rRNA from 1 species
AGACCCGAAACCCGGUGAUCUAGCCAUGGGCAGGUUGAAGGUUGGGUAACACUAACUGGAGGACCGAACCGACUAAUGUUGAAAAAUUAGCGGAUGACCUGUGGCUGGGGGUGAAAGGCCAAUCAAACCGGGAGAUAGCUGGUUCUCCCCGAAAGCUAUUUAGGUAGCGCCUCGUGAAUUCAUCUCCGGGGGUAGAGCACUGUUUCGGCUAGGGGGCCAUCCCGGCUUACCAACCCGAUGCAAACUGCGAAUACCGGAGAAUGUUAUCACGGGAGACACACGGCGGGUGCUAACGUCCGUCGUGAAGAGGGAAACAACCCAGACCGCCAGCUAAGGUCCCAAAGUCAUGGUUAAGUGGGAAACGAUGUGGGAAGGCCCAGACAGCCAGGAUGUUGGCUUAGAAGCAGCCAUCAUUUAAAGAAAGCGUAAUAGCUCACUGGUCGAGUCGGCCUGCGCGGAAGAUGUAACGGGGCUAAACCAUGCACCGAAGCUGCGGCAGCGACACUGUGUGUUGUUGGGUAGGGGAGCGUUCUGUAAGCCUGCGAAGGUGGCCUGUGAGGGUUGCUGGAGGUAUCAGAAGUGCGAAUGCUGACAUAAGUAACGAUAAAGCGGGUGAAAAGCCCGCUCGCCGGAAGACCAAGGGUUCCUGUCCAACGUUAAUCGGGGCAGGGUGAGUCGACCCCUAAGGCGAGGCCGAAAGGCGUAGUCGAUGGGAAACGGGUUAAUAUUCCCGUACUUGGUGUUACUGCGAAGGGGGGACGGAGAAGGCUAUGUUGGCCGGGCGACGGUUGUCCCGGUUUAAGCGUGUAGGUGUGUGUUCCAGGUAAAUCCGGUUCACUUUAACACUGAGGCGUGACGACGAGGCACUACGGUGCUGAAGCAACAAAUGCCCUGCUUCCAGGAAAAGCCUCUAAGCAUCAGGUAACAUCAAAUCGUACCCCAAACCGACACAGGUGGUCAGGUAGAGAAUACCAAGGCGCUUGAGAGAACUCGGGUGAAGGAACUAGGCAAAAUGGUGCCGUAACUUCGGGAGAAGGCACGCUGACACGUAGGUGAAGUGAUUUACUCAUGGAGCUGAAGUCAGUCGAAGAUACCAGCUGGCUGCAACUGUUUAUUAAAAACACAGCACUGUGCAAACACGAAAGUGGACGUAUACGGUGUGACGCCUGCCCGGUGCCGGAAGGUUAAUUGAUGGGGUCAGCGCAAGCGAAGCUCCUGAUCGAAGCCCCGGUAAACGGCGGCCGUAACUAUAACGGUCCUAAGGUAGCGAAAUUCCUUGUCGGGUAAGUUCCGACCUGCACGAAUGGCGUAAUGAUGGCCAGGCUGUCUCCACCCGAGACUCAGUGAAAUUGAACUCGCUGUGAAGAUGCAGUGUACCCGCGGCAAGACGGAAAGACCCCGUGAACCUUUACUAUAGCUUGACACUGAACAUUGAGCCUUGAUGUGUAGGAUAGGUGGGAGGCUUUGAAGUGUGGACGCCAGUCUGCAUGGAGCCGACCUUGAAAUACCACCCUUUAAUGUUUGAUGUUCUAACGUGGACCCGUUACCCGGGUUGCGGACAGUGUCUGGUGGGUAGUUUGACUGGGGCGGUCUCCUCCUAAAGAGUAACGGAGGAGCACGAAGGUUGGCUAAUCCUGGUCGGACAUCAGGAGGUUAGUGCAAUGGCAUAAGCCAGCUUGACUGCGAGCGUGACGGCGCGAGCAGGUGCGAAAGCAGGUCAUAGUGAUCCGGUGGUUCUGAAUGGAAGGGCCAUCGCUCAACGGAUAAAAGGUACUCCGGGGAUAACAGGCUGAUACCGCCCAAGAGUUCAUAUCGACGGCGGUGUUUGGCACCUCGAUGUCGGCUCAUCACAUCCUGGGGCUGAAGUAGGUCCCAAGGGUAUGGCUGUUCGCCAUUUAAAGUGGUACGCGAGCUGGGUUUAGAACGUCGUGAGACAGUUCGGUCCCUAUCUGCCGUGGGCGCUGGAGAACUGAGGGGGGCUGCUCCUAGUACGAGAGGACCGGAGUGGACGCAUCACUGGUGUUCGGGUUGUCAUGCCAAUGGCACUGCCCGGUAGCUAAAUGCGGAAGAGAUAAGUGCUGAAAGCAUCUAAGCACGAAACUUGCCCCGAGAUGAGUUCUCCCUGAGACUUAAAGUCUCCUGAAGGAACGUUGAAGACGACGACGUUGAUAGGCCGGGUGUGUAAGCGCAGCGAUGCGUUGAGCUAACCGGUACU